rnacentral:lncRNA from 1 species
AUGGUUCCACAGGCUGUACAGGAAGCAUGGCUCAGGAGGCCUAAGGACACUUACAACCAUGGCAGAGGGCAAAAAAGAAGAAGACUCCAACUUCUUCAGUUUGGAGACUCGGACUGGCUCUCUUUCCUCCUCAAGCUUGCAGACAGCCUACUGUGGGACCUUGUGAUCAUAUAUAUGGCUUUCUGUUCUCUUGUUCUGCCACCUAGAUUUACAUGGCUCAAAGUUCAAAUGAUAUUAACAGACUGUAUAUCAAAACUGAUGUCCAUCUUCUAUUAAAUAUUAGUUCCUUUCUUCAUAUGUUUGGGCUAAUGGCUAUAUGGUAAAAUAGUAGAAAAGUCUUCUUGUCAAUGUUACUGUUGGUUCUUGCACCGAUGGUGGUCAAAAACUGACAUCUUCCCCAGUUGAAAGAGUUUCCUUUGACCUUGAUGGAGGAAAUCCUCCUUAUUUGAGUAAAUAAAUUCCUGAGUUUGGGGAAUGUGCAUAAAUGCUAAAAAACUGGGCAAAUGGCCAAAAAUAACCAUUUCAGCACUCUGGAAAUUGACGAAAGAAUACAACAAGCUGAGAACUUCUGGACUUUGAGUAAGAAAAUAAUAAGUCUGUGGUGUUCUUGCUUGGACCUGUCUAUUCACCACCUCCUCCACUUGCUCCCCACAAGCUCUGUUAUCACAGUAGUUGAAGGGUGAGGCAGGCUGUAAGAACUAGAAGUUUUGCUGCUGCUGUUGCUGCUACUGAAAAGAACUCACCUAAUUUGGAACAUUGUCAGCUAAAGUACAGUCAGCCCUUGAUCAACGUGGGUUUGAACCAUGCAGGUCCACUUACAUGCAGAUUUCUCUCUGCCUCUGCCACCCAUGAGACAGCAACACCAACCUUGACUCUUCCUUUGCUUCCUCUGUCUACUCAACCUGCAGACAAUGAGGAUGAAGACUUUUAUGGUGAUCCACUUCUGCUUAAUGGAUAGUAAAUAUAUUUUCUCUUCUUAUAGCUUUCUUAAUAACAUUUUCUUUUCUGUAGCUUACUGGCUUACUUUAUUGUAAGAAUACCAUAUAUAAUAUAUAUCACAUUACAAAAAUAUAUGUGUUAAUUGACUGUUUAAGUUAUUGGUAAGUCUUCUGGUCAACAGCAGGCUGUUAGCCCCACAGAGUCAAUCUUCAGCCCCACUCUAUUGCCAGUUUGGCCUCCAAAGACUGUCUCCAGGCCCCCACUUCCAGGUGGUCCCCAGCAGCCCCAGGCUCCAGACUAUGGCCAGCAUCAGGCUGUCAUUUGCAGCCCUAGACUUCACGCCUGCCUCAGGAACAAGGGAGUCUUCAUGGACCUAGUCCUCAACACUGAGCCAGUACUCAUAGGCCCAGCCUCCAGGCCAGCCCCUGCUGAUUCAAGCUUCAGACCAGCACCCAUAGACCCAGUCUCUAUACCAGUCCCAGUGCCAUGUUGGCCCCUGCAGCCAUGACUCCAAGCUGGGACUGUAGACCCAGCUUCCAGGCCAACACCCACAGACCCUGCCUUCAGUCUGGCCCCUGCAGCCCCAGGCUGCUGGCACACCUCAGCACCAGUUCAGCAUCCACCAACCCCAGCUCAAGGCUGGUCCCUGUAGUUUCAGGCAUAAAGCUGGAACCUGUGAAUCUAGCCUUCAGAGAGGCUGCCAUUUGUAGGAGCUCCAAACAUACUUAGUAAGGGGCCAGUCCCUGUGGCCUCAGGCUAUAGGUUGGCUCCCCAACAGACUUAGGAUCGAGGCCUACCCCCAGGCUCCAGACAGGCACAGUGCUAGGCAGGUUCACAUGGCCCCAGGCUUCAGACCUGCCUCAGCACCACAGCACACCUCAUGGCCCCAGGCUUCAGACCACUACCUGCAGAGCCAGCCUCCAGCUCCACCCCAGUACCAGAUCAAAAUCUUUAGACCCCGACUUCAGCCCAGUCCUUGGCAGACACAAGCUCCAGAUCCACCCAGUGCUAGGCUGCUCCCUGUGGCCUGAGGCUCCAGGCAGGCAGGCCCUUAUAACCCCAGGUUUCAGGCCUAUUUCAGUAGAUCUCAGCACCGAGCUGGUUCUCCUGACCCCAGGACCCAAGCCUGCCUCCAUAGUCCCAACUUGAAAGCCCAUCCGAGAAACAAACCAGCCUCCAUGGUCCCAUGCUCCAGGCCAGCACUCAUGGACCUAGCCUACAGAUAAGCACCCACAUGACCAAACUCCAGACCAGUUCCCAUGGCCCUUGGCUCCAGGCCAGCCCCUGUAGCUUCAGGUACUAGGACAACCGGGGUCACAGGCUCCAGGCUUACCCCAGCAGGCCAGACCCAAGAUUAGUGAAAUCAGAGACAGAUCAUCUGAAGUUACCUAAUCAGAGGUACAAAAAGGAAAAAGAAUGGCAAAGAGUAAAGAAAGCCUACAGGAAUUAUGGGAUGCCAACAAGUCAAACAAUUUACACAUUAUGGGUAUUCCAGAAGGAAUGUAGAAAAAGAAGGGGGCAGAAAGCUUGUUUAAAGAAAUAAUGACUGAAAAACAUUCCAAAUCUGUAGAGGAAAAUGAACAUUCAUUCAGAUCCAUGCAACCCAAAGAACCCAAAAUAUAUUAAACAUGCAGUAAUUUUUCACUUAACAUUGAUGAUAAGUUAAUGGAAACUGAAACUUUAAAUGAAACUACAUAUAGCAGGUCCUUGAAAUAAUGUCAUUUCCUUCAAUACUGGUGAGAAAAAAAUGGUUUUGUUAUCCAUCAUUUUGCUUAAAGCUGCAGUUUCCAAGAACUUACUGAUGAUGUUAAGUGAGGACUUACCAUAAAGAGAUUCUGUACCAACACAGAUUAUAAUCAGCGGCUCAAAAGUCAAAGACAGGCCUGGUGUGGUGGCUCAAGCCUGUAAUCCCAGCACUUUGACAGGCCAAGGCGGGCAGAUCGACUGAGCGCAGGACUUUGAGACCAACCUGGGCAACAUGGUGAAACCCCAUCUCUACUAAAAAUACAAAAAAUUAGGCAGGGUAGUGCAUGUCUGUAGUCCCAGCUACUCAGGAGUCUGAGGCACAAGAAUCACUUGAACCUAGGAGGCAGAGGUUGCAGUGAGCUGAAAUCUCACCACUGCACUCCAGCCAGGGCAACAGAGUGGGAGUGAGACUCUGUCUGAAGAAAAAGUCAAAGACAAAGAGAAUUUUGAAAACAGCAAGAGAAAAUCAAUUUAUCAUGUACAAGACAACCUUAAUAAGAUAUUAACAAAAUUCUCAGCAGACAACUUGCAGGCCAGGAGAGAGAGGGAUGAUAUAUUCAAAGCACUGAAAAAAACAAACACCCUGCCAACCAAGAAUACUACACAGUCAUGUGCAGCAUAAUGAUAUUUUGGUCAGUGACAGACUGCAUAUAUAAUGGUGGUCCCAUAAGAAUACAACAGAACUGAAAAAUUUCUACCAGCUAGUAAUG